rnacentral:rRNA from 1 species
CCUACGGGUGGCAGCAGUGAGGAAUAUUGGUCAAUGGGAGGAAUCCUGAACCAGCCAUGCCGCGUGCAGGACGACGGCUCUACGAGUUGUAAACUGCUUUUGUACCGGGGUAAAAUGCUCUACGAGUAGGGUUUUGAAAGUACGGUAUGAAUAAGGAUCGGCUAACUCCGUGCCAGCAGCCGCGGUAAUACGGAGGAUCCGAGCGUUAUCCGGAUUUAUUGGGUUUAAAGGGUGCGUAGGUUGUUUUUUAAGUUGGCGGUGAAAUACCGAUGCUCAACAUCGGGGCUGCCGCUGAUACUGUAGGACUAGAGAUCGGAUGCAGCAGGCGGAAUGUGUAGUGUAGCGGUGAAAUGCAUAGAUAUUACACAGAACACCGAUUGCGAAGGCAGCUUGCUAGGCCGGAUCUGACACUGAUGCACGAAAGCGUGGGGAUCGAACAGGAUUAGAUACCCGGGUAGUC